UACGUAGGUGGCAAGCGUUGUCCGGAUUUACUGGGCGUAAAGAGCGCGCAGGCGGUCGGCCAAGUCGCGUGUGAAAGCCCCCGGCUCAACUGGGGAGGGUCACGCGAUACUGGUCGACUCGAAGGCAGGAGAGGGUAGUGGAAUUCCCGGUGUAGUGGUGAAAUGCGUAGAUAUCGGGAGGAACACCAGUGGCGAAGGCGACUACCUGGCCUGUUCUUGACGCUGAGGCGCGAAAGCUAGGGGAGCAAACGGG
rnacentral:rRNA from 1 species